rnacentral:rRNA from 1 species
ACUCCUACGGAGGCAGGCAGCAGUAGGGAAUCUUCCGCAAUGGACGAAAGUCUGACGGAGCAACGCCGCGUGAGUGAAGAAGGUUUUCGGAUCGUAAAACUCUGUUGUUAAAGAAGAACAAGGAUGAGAGUAACUGCUCAUCCCCUGACGGUAUUUAACCAGAAAGCCACGGCUAACUACGUGCCAGCAGCCGCGGUAAU